AUGGACCCCUUCUCCUCCGACCUCUGGGACCCCUUCUCCUCCGACCUCUGGGACCCCUUCGGCGCUUCCUGGCCCUUGGACGCCGGCCGCCGAGGCGGCGAAGGCGGCAGCCGCGACGACGCCACCGCCAUGGCUCGCACCAACAUUGACUGGCACGAGAACGACAAGGAGCACAUCUUCUCCGCGGAGAUACCCGGGGUGAGGAAGGAGCACGUGAAGGUGGAGGUGGAGGACGGCAACGUGCUCAAGAUCAGCGGGGAGAAGACGCGGGAGGAGGAGCACAAGGGCGACGCGUGGAACCGCGUGGAGCGCAGCUUCGGGUCCUUCAUGCGCCGGUUCCGCCUGCCGGAGAACGCCAAGGCGGACGGCAUCCGGUGCACCAUGCAGGACGGCGUGCUCAGGGUCGUCGUGCCCAAGGACGAGCAAGCCCAGAAGCAGCGCAACGUCCGCUCCAUCGACAUCGCCUAA
rnacentral:rRNA from 1 species